UGUAUCUGUACAUAUUUGUUGACAAUGAAUGAGCAAUUUAUUCAAGCAAUAAUAGCACGGAAAUUUUCUCUUAGAUUUUCAUAUAAGCAAUGGAGCGUAUAAUAAAAAGUGAACCGGAAUCAUCACGGCGUAUUCAAUUACUAAUGAUACUCAACAUUUUGGGGGUGAUAUGUUGCUUCGUCAUGGGCAUCAUCAUGUUACUAUGGGCAUUUAGCACUUCGCGGGACACCCUGAACGUGGAACUGACACCAGACACUUCAACAUUAGUAUGUGAGAGAAGAAACUCUUCAACAGAUGUUGUUGGACUGAUUCCUAGGAACUUUAGAAG